AGAGUUUGAUCCUGGCUCAGGACGAACGCUGGCGGCGUGCCUAACACAUGCAAGUCGAACGAGAAUCUUUGAACAGAACUUUUCGGAGUGACGUUCAAAGAGGAAAGUGGCGGACGGGCGAGUAACGCGUGAGUAACCUGCCCAUAAGAGGGGGAUAAUCCAUGGAAACGUGGACUAAUACCGCAUAUUGUAGUUAAGUUGCAUGACUUGAUUAUGAAAGAUUUAUCGCUUAUGGAUGGACUCGCGUCAGAUUAGAUAGUUGGUGAGGUAACGGCUCACCAAGUCAACGAUCUGUAGCCGAACUGAGAGGUUGAUCGGCCGCAUUGGGACUGAGACACGGCCCAGACUCCUACGGGAGGCAGCAGUGGGGAAUAUUGCGCAAUGGGGGCAACCCUGACGCAGCAACGCCGCGUGCAGGAAGAAGGUCUUCGGAUUGUAAACUGUUGUCGCAAGGGAAGAAGACAGUGACGGUACCUUGUGAGAAAGUCACGGCUAACUACGUGCCAGCAGCCGCGGUAAUACGUAGGUGACAAGCGUUGUCCGGAUUUACUGGGUGUAAAGGGCGCGUAGGCGGACUGUCAAGUCAGUCGUGAAAUACCGGGGCUUAACCCCGGGGCUGCGAUUGAAACUGACAGCCUUGAGUAUCGGAGAGGAAAGCGGAAUUCCUAGUGUAGCGGUGAAAUGCGUAGAUAUUAGGAGGAACACCAGUGGCGAAGGCGGCUUUCUGGACGACAACUGACGCUGAGGCGCGAAAGUGUGGGGAGCAAACAGGAUUAGAUACCCUGGUAGUCCACACCGUAAACGAUGGAUACUAGGUGUAGGAGGUAUCGACCCCUUCUGUGCCGCAGUUAACACAAUAAGUAUCCCACCUGGGGAGUACGACCGCAAGGUUGAAACUCAAAGGAAUUGACGGGGGCCCG
rnacentral:rRNA from 1 species